rnacentral:rRNA from 1 species
GAUGAACGCUGGCGGCGUGCCUAAUACAUGCAAGUCGAGCGAACGGACGAGAAGCUUGCUUCUCUGAUGUUAGCGGCGGACGGGUGAGUAACACGUGGAUAACCUACCUAUAAGACUGGGAUAACUUCGGGAAACCGGAGCUAAUACCGGAUAAUAUUUUGAACCGCAUGGUUCAAAAGUGAAAGACGGUCUUGCUGUCACUUAUAGGUGGAUCCGCGCUGCAUUAGCUAGUUGGUAAGGUAACGGCUUACCAAGGCAACGAUGCAUAGCCGACCUGAGAGGGUGAUCGGCCACACUGGAACUGAGACACGGUCCAGACUCCUACGGGAGGCAGCAGUAGGGAAUCUUCCGCAAUGGGCGAAAGCCUGACGGAGCAACGCCGCGUGAGUGAUGAAGGUCUUCGGAUCGUAAAACUCUGUUAUUAGGGAAGAACACAUGUGUAAGUAACUGUGCACAUCUUGACGGUACCUAAUCAGAAAGCCACGGCUAACUACGUG